rnacentral:lncRNA from 1 species
GAGGUGAAUAAACGCUGAGUUCCAUGGGAAUAAUGAAUCUUCAGUGUUUGCAAUCUUAUCAUGUUUAUAGUUGAUCAUUAUAUAAUGUAAAUUUGGUAAAGAUAGUUGUCUGCUAAAUAAAACAAAACAAAAAAUAUUUCUUUUUCAGGUUCAUCUUCCCCAGACCCAAAAGAUGUGGUGGUUACUAUUAAGGUAUCAAGGCCUCGACCUAACACACCACCGCCGAAAAAAUGAGCUUCAAUUUAACAUUUCAACAUGUCAUAUAUUUCUUACGUAAACAAUAAAUUAUAUGAAAAUUAUUUAAAUUAGAUUUUGAGACUAUGAUGUUUUUACAUUUCAACAUGUCAUAUAUUUCUUACGUAAACAAUAAAUUAUAUGAAAAUUAUUUGAAUUAGAUUUUGAGACUAUGAUGUUUCUGUAGGACCGUCACUAGAUUGGUUCGACUGAUUACAUCAUAAUAGAAGGUGUGUAUAGGGUUUAAAGAAUAAAAAUUGAUAGGGG